ACUGAAUAGAUACCCUGGUAGUCCACGCCGUAAACGAUGGAUACUAGCUGUUCGGAGCAAAUCUGAGUGGCUAAAGCGAAAGUGAUAAGUAUCCCACCUGGGGAGUACGCACGCAAGUGUGAAACUCAAAGGAAUUGACGGGGGCCCGCACAAGCGGUGGAGCAUGUGGUUUAAUUCGAUGAUACGCGAGGAACCUUACCAGGGCUUAAAUGUAGAUUGACAGGACUGGAAACAGUUUUUCUUCGGACAAUUUACAAGGUGCUGCAUGGUUGUCGUCAGCUCGUGCCGUGAGGUGUCAGGUUAAGUCCUAUAACGAGCGCAACCCCUGUCGUUAGUUGCCAGCGAGUCAUGUCGGGAACUCUAACGAGACUGCCAGUGUAAACCUGUGAGGAAGGUGGGGAUGACGUCAAAUCAUCACGGCCCUUACGUCCUGGGCCACACACGUGCUACAAUGGUAGGUACAGAGAGCAGCCACUGCGCGAGCAGGAGCGAAUCUACAAAA
rnacentral:rRNA from 1 species